AUGAUGAGUGGCUGGUUACUUAAUGACCUUUUGAUUCAUUUUCAAUUUUUAUUUAUUUUUUAAUUGCUAAGACCUUAGUCAUCUUUGAGCUAGGAUGGCUAGGCUUUGGGCUGAAGUCAUUUUGGCAAAUUGACCUGAACAGGUAUAUAGUGUAUAAAAGUUUGGUCAGUCAUUUCAUGCCUGGAAGUUUGCUUAAGUUUGUAUAAAUUGGGAGAUGGUGUCUGAGAGCCGGUUUUGUGAGUACCACUAAGCUUUCUAACUGCAGUGGCCAUUGAAUUAACCCCUACAGACAAUCCUUAUAAUUCUUCUUGCUUUGGGAAAGCAAAGGGUAGGUCUAAUAGAAGCCUAUGUGAUGGCAGUGUGGUUUGUAUGGAAAAAUGUAGUCUUAAAGUGACCACAGAACUCAGCAGAGAAGAAACCAUUGUUUUUCUAACCUAGACUCGGCCUCUCGGCUUCCUCUCUAGGCUUGUAGUUAGCAUAAAAGGAAAGGGGUUUCUGUUCCCACAAGGGCAGUGCAGUACCAUUGUGGCAGCGAUGCCUGUAGUCUGCCUGGCCUUCCCGAGAAGAAACUCGGGUUCACUGGGUACUUCUCUUAAAUGGAAACCACCUCCAUUCAAAGUCCUCAGGCUGGAGGGGAGGUAGCCCACACUUGGGCUUGGGCUUGGGCUUGGGCACAGCUGUUUCUUGGUACGUUUCUUCUAUUCAGUUUCUUACUGCGGAGAGCUUUAUGUUCAGCUUCGGUGUUGUCUCUUCUGUCAGACGCUGUUGCUUACUAGUAAAUCUUGGGCUGCACAGGGCGAUUCUGGAAGGGAUUCUGAUAACACAGCAUCAGGCUUUCCCAGAUGAAGGAGCGACUACGAAUAAAGAGGCGAGGAUCUCAAGGGAGGGCCACGGUGUUCAAAAAUGAGGCUUCCUGUUUUAUUUCACAUUCUUGUAACCUAAUAUCCCAUUCGAGCAUCUUUGGAGACAGCUUUUUCUUUGUUUUGUUGGACUGUGCAAGAUGUAUCUUCCACACGGAGACAUACAUCCAUGAUCUGGACCCUCUGUCUUAGCAGUUGGAUAAGCACAUUCUGUCGUACACACAACCUUCCUUUGUUGGAGGUCUCCCAUUUCCUUUCCUAUACAAGGAAUUGAACCACUGUACGCAAGGAACGUCUGUAGGGGUGAGAAAGAUAAAUACACUCUUCUUCUGCAGGAGAUGUCCAUGGAACACAUUGUGAUCCUCCCGUUGAAGUUCAGCUGUAGCUGGCUAUUUAAUCUUGUGAGCUGCUGACCAAGAGAGUUUGUGUAAAGCAUUAAAAUCUGCCAACCCGAGGGGCCACUUGGGCACCCAAGUUUAUAUAAACCUUCGGCAUGCCUUAUGCACCCAUGACCCUGAGGACUCCUGACAGCCGGUCCCAGCUGGUUUUACAAUAUAAAACAAAACUCAGACAUUGGCUCAAACUGUUCUACAUUUUGAUCCAAAUCCCUUCUAAACACAAGAAGAAAAGAGCCUGUGCCCUGCGUCUGUUUUCGUGGUCUCCCCAGGCAUGCUAUCUUUAUAUUUUUUUCACACCCUAGCUUUUGAGUGUCCCUGCAAUGCUUGUUACUCCUCGACUAGAAAGCCAGGCUGCAAUAAAUCAGUGACUGCGCCACACAGAGGUCACAGAAGCUAGAGAGAGACCUGAUCCCAAAUUACACUCCUUGGUGGGGUGCCAUGGUCUCAAUGCAUGAGUCUCUGCAGGAGACGGUAGACCAAGAUGUAUUCCUGUUUGUGGGAAUUCUGUUUGCAAAUAUGCCUUUUCUUACCGUUCUCCACCUCCUCUCCUCCUUUCAAGGGAAGCUUUGCCAGGAAGCUGGAGGGCUGUCUCACCAUCUGACUUUGGGUGGCAUUCACCUGUUCUGCAUUCUGUAAUCAUGGCUCUCUGUGGAGAAAUCAGAACAAGGUGCUGGACCCAUGAUGGGAGGGUUCUUAAACCUCCACUCUCUGCUUCUAGGUAGCCAGAAAAAGCUUGAAUGUUUGCCUUCCAUGUUUUCCUAGGAAACAGCAUGUAUUUCCGAAAGAUGACUAGUGUAAUCGACUCAUCACAAUUGUUGUUGUUUUUGUAGUUAUUUUAGUGGCCAUGGUGAUAGCACUGUACUGAGAAUCAAACCCAGGACCUUGUGCAUGUGAAGCAAGUACUAGGCACCUAGCCCACAUAUGUAGCUCUUUUUCUGUUUGGUGUUUGAGAUACAAUUUCACCAUGUAACGAAAGGGCUGGCCUGGAACUCACUGAAGAGACCAGUGUGGUUUUUGAAGUCACAGGGAUCUGUCUUCCUCUGCCAUUGGAGUGCCAGGAUUAAAAGGAGAAAGGAAUUCCAGAGAACAAUCUGCAUAUCCAUUUGUAAAAGGCAAUCCAGAAGAAGCGAAAGGGCUGUCUCUCCUUCACUCCCUUUCAGCCCUCUUCUGAAGCAACCUUUAGGAACUGACAGAGCCCUCUGGCUACUGAGUCAAGGAUGCCUUGGGCUAUGCGGAAAUGAGACACACCACCUUCUCCUGGGCAUUAUUCACAGGGAAAGGCCAGAGCUUUACAGGAUCGAUGGCCAAGGCAGGCAGCUUGGUUUCCUUGGUUUCCUUUCGUUCUGGAUUUAUUUCUAUCUUUUUAUUAUAGAUAAUAGUUCUGUGGGUACGUGCUAGUGACCUCGAAGUUCCCUGUAGGUGGAGUUACAGAUGGCUGUGAGCUGCCUGCCAUGGGUCCUGGGAACUGAACUCUGGUCCUCUGAAAGAGCAGUACAUGCUCUUAAUCAUUGAGUCAUCUCUCUAGCUCCACAUUUUAUUUUUCCCUUAAGUGAAAUGCAGUAACCCCUGGCUGGCGCUUGGUUACCCGAGGUCAACAGAGAUCUGAAAAUAUUACUGUACAACUAGGCAUUUGUGGGAGAGAGAGGCAGAGACCAUAUUUCCAUGAUGUUUUUUUUUUUUUACUACGGUAUAUUGUGAUUAUUGUAUGUAUUAAUUGUUUAUACACCAUGCUCCUAUCACAGAUGUGUAUGUAUAGGAAGAAAAUGGAAUAUAUAGAGAAGGAUACUAUUUGUGUAUUUAGGUGCCUACUAAGGGUCUUAGAACUACUGUAUUCCAGUAUAUUCUAUGUUAAAUUUUUUGACAUAGCAUUUUGGGGUGUGUGUGUGUGUGUGUGUGUGUGUUUGCAAAGUGUGUGAAUGACCACAGGCCUUACCUGUUCAGUGUGAAUGAAGCUACCUCCCUUCAAACAAGUUAUUUAAGCCAAAAUCUCAUGUUUUCUACCACUAAUGAUUGAAUUAAUGUUAUCUCCCUAAGUUUUCUUUGUCAUAAGGAUAAAGCCCUGUGGACUAUAACUUUAGUUUAGAGUCUUUGGUAAGCUUGGUGUCUAGUCUGGUUUCUAGGUGAAUGUAUGUAUUUUUGUCCAAAAGGGAUUAGUAAACAUGUCUUCAGUACAGCCACACUUGGGAAAAUAAACAUUAGAAAAUUUGAAAGUCAACAACACAUGGUGCCUUGCAUCUGCUAAGUUGUAUCCCAAAAGGAGAAAAUUUUGUACCUGUGGCAAAUUUGCAUGCCAAGUGUGCAUGUCAUUUGCAUAUUCGUAUUUUAGUUAGUAACGAACAAACAGAAAGUAAAUGUUAGCUGUGCAGCUGGCUGUUGUUUCUAGGUCUAUGUAUAUUUUUUUGUUGCUGACAGAUUGCCAUAGGAAAAGAUGUAAAAUGGGCAGAAGCCCGAGAUGGGGGUAGGGGUGGGGUCACUUGGUAUGGUAGCUGGACGUAGGAACACCAUUGUUUCAUACGCUGUACUGAAUGCUUUCAUGUCUUAGUUUAAUUUAUACUAUUUAAUAUCAAGACAAUCUUCAGGCUUUUAAUAAAACAAAUCUAAAUAGAGACCAACAAGAUUAAGUAAAAAUUGCUUUUAUUCCAGUAACUACUAUCCAAUUGCCCUCAAUUUAACAAAAUAGUAUUAGAAUGCUUUAUAAAGGUUUUUUGUUUGUUUGUUUGGGUUUUUUUGGUUUUGUUUAUUUGUUUGUUUUUGGUUUUGUUUUGUUUUGGCUUUUGAGACAAAGAUUUUCUGUGUAGCCUAGCUGUCCUGGAACUCACUUUGCCAACUUGGAACUCACUUUCUUGACUAGGCUGACCUUGAACUCAGAGAUCUGCUUGCCUCUGCCACCAGAGUGCUGGGAUUAGAGGAGUGAGCUACCACUUACAAAGUAUUUCUAUUUAUCAUUAUUUAUCUCUGAAGUAUCCUUACUUAUCUUUAUUCUACUACUGUAGCAGUAUAAACAGUGUUAAGGAGCAAUCUUGUAACUAAAAGUCAAAUUCAACGUACAUUGUUAAAAUGCAACUUUGUAUUAGAAAGAGAAACAAGUGACAGAACCUCCCACUUUCUCCUGGUGGCACUAUGCCACUGCCACCACAUCGCCUGGGCAUCAUUUUAAGGAAUACUUUCUCUUCACUUUGCUUAGAGAUAGAUGUUGGCAAUCUUCUUGAUUCAUCCAUCUUACCUGUUCUCAGCUACUGGCAUGCAUUAUGCAAGGCCUAGAUCAUUCUGUCCUGCCACAGUUUGAUGCAUAUUGAAGUUAUUGUAGAAGACUUCCUGUAAUUUGUUGAUCAACUCUGAUAUCCAGGCCAGAAAGGAAUAUUGGCAUGCUUGAAAUAUCAGUUCUUUCUGAUAUGCUAUUUAGGCCUGAAACUGCCUUGCCUCUCCAAAUAUUCCUUAACCACUUUAAUACCAAUAAACACUAAUUGUAAAAUGAACAGUUCAAUAUUGGCUCUGUUUUUGUUUCAACCUCUGAAUUUUUACUGCUAAGAACUAUUAGAGAACUAACUCCCCUAGCCCCCAAGGAUAAGUUCUUUCCCCUCUAAUAGUCCAGCAGCACUACCCUGAAUGCCUGGAUGCGGAGAAAAGAGAGUUUAUGUGAAGGACUGACUUAGGAUCUGCUCAGGAGCUUCUGGCAAUUAUAGGAACCAUUACUAAUAAAGUGUCCAGUUGGUACUUUUUUUGCCAAUCUAUAGGAUACACUUUCUUAAGACAUAGUUCACCACGGUGUAACAAUUGCUGUCCAUUCAUUGGUGGGCACUUGGCAGUUGCUGACUCUUCAGGGUUCAUGAGCAAAUGAAAUGGUGUCCGUGGAAUGCCUUCUCACCCUGUGCUGCCUCUGGAGUCCUCCUUGUCCUGAGGAUUUCAUGGAUAUCUGAAUUAUAGUCUCCAGGAUCGGUAAAGAAUGAUAGUCAUAAUGUGUUCCUUUGGAUUCUGAGGUUUUGCUUAUUCAGACUUCACAUCUGUUGAAGAGGUAACAUUUUCAUAUUAGGCAGGACUGUCCUGAAGCUAGUUCCUGUCUUUUAUGGACAUUAUCUGGGUUGAACUUUCUGCUCAACAGGAAAACGACUAAUACUGGUCUCAGCAAAAAAGAAGCUAUCUUAUUUGAUUUGAUAAAAUGCAAUUUUCAAAAUUAUUUAAAGGUGCAGAGAAGGUACUAUUUUUUGAUAUUAGGUAUAUCAUGAGAUGUGAACUUUUAAGCUAUUGUGACUGCAUUCAGUGCUGCUGGCUUUAAUUCUACUACAGUUUUAAAAAAAUGGAGUCUUUCUUUUGUUUUCUGGUGCUGGGACUUGAACUGAGAGCCUUGUGGAUGCUAAGCAGACACCCCACUCCACUGUGCUCCACCCCAACCCUUUGAUGUCUAUUUUAAUUAAAUGCACGAAGAUUGCUUCUUCACUAAACAAUCCACUUGAACUUUUGCUAUCUCUUGCUCGUCUCUGUCCUAACUUUAUAACCACAUAGGUGGGUAUUUGUGUCACUGUUAAACUUGAUAUGUAUGAUUAUUUUUAAAUAUAACACUUAAACUUUAUGUGCUCGUAUAGUAUGCACAGAUUUAAAGCAAUUUCCAUCAAUAACAAGCUUUACUAGGUUUUUUUUUUUUUUUGGCGUUCAAAGUUCAUUUUCUUUUUCUUUUAAUUAGGUAUUUUCUUCAUUUACAUUUCCAAUGCUACCCCAAAAGUCCCCCAUACCCUCCCCUCCCACUCCCCUACCCCCCCCCCCCCCCACUCCCACUUCUUGGCCCUGGCGUUCCCCUGUACUGAGGCAUAUAAAGUUUGCAAGACCAAGGGGCCUUUCUUCCCAAUGAUGGCCAACUAGGCCAUCUUCUGCUACAUAUGCAGCUAGAGACACGAGCUCUGGGGGGGGGGGGGGCACUGGUUAGUUCAUAUUGUUGUUCCACCUAUAGGGUUGCAGACCCCUUUAGCUCCUUGAGUAUUUUCUCUAGCUCCCCCACUGGGGGCCCUGUGAUCUACCCAAUAGCUGACUAUGAGCAUCCACUUCUGUGUUUGCUAGACCCCAGCAUAGCCUCACAAGAGACAGCUAUAUCAGGGUCCUUUCAGCAAAAUCUUGCUAGUGUGUGCAAUGGUGUCAGUGUUUGGAGGCUGAUUAUGGGAUGGAUUCCCGGGUAUUGCAGUCUCUAGAUGGUCCAUCCUUUCGUCUCAGCUCCAAACUUUAUCUCUGUAACUCCUUCCAUGGGUGUUUUGGUCCCAAUUCUAAGAAGGGGCACAGUGUCCACACUUUGGUCUUUGUUCUUGAGUUUCAUGUGUUUUGCAAGUUGUAUCUUGUAUCUUGGGUAUUCUAAAUUUCUGGGCUAAUAUCCAUUUAUCAGUGAGUAUAUAUCAUGUGAGUUCUUUUGUGACUGGGUUACCUCACUCAGGAUGAUGCCCUCCAGAUCCAUCCAUUUGCCUAGGAAUUUCAUAAAUUCAUUCUUUUUAAUAGCUGAGUAGUACUCCAUUGUGUAAAUGUACCACAUUUUCUGUAUCCAUUCCUCUGUUGAGGGGCAUCUGGGUUCUUUCCAGCUUCUGGCUAUUACAAAUAAGGCUGCUAUGAACAUAGGGGAGCAUGUGUCCUUCUUACCGGUUGGAACAUCUUCUGGAUAUAUGCCCAGGAGAGGUAUUGCGGGAUCCUCUGGUAGUACUAUGACCAAUUUUCUGAGGAACCGCCAGACUGAUUUCCAAAGUGGUUGUACAAGCUUGCAAUCCCACCAACAAUGGAGGAGUGUUCCUCUUUUUCCACAUCCUCACCAGCAUCUGCUAUCACCUGAAUUUUUGAUCUUAGCCAUUCUGGCUGGUGUGAGGUGGAAUCUCAUCCUGAUGAUUAAGGAUGCUGAACAUUUUUUCAGGUGUUUCUCAGCCAUUCGGUAUUCCUCAGGUGAGAAUUCUUUGUUUAGCUCUGAGCCCCAUUUUUUAAUGGGGUUAUUUGAUUUUCUGGAGUCCCACCUUCUUAUUUUAAAGGCGGCCCCAAAAUGAAUAUUUUUGAAAGAAACGUAUUUAAAGAGCCCAGAACACUGAUGUUUAUCUAAUUCCAAGGAAUGAAUAUGAAACAGAUAUGUUUAGAAUAAAUGAUUACUGUCCCAUACCUUCUCAUAAGUAUAUUUACUGGAAACGUUUUUAUUUUUAACUUGAACCUUACAAUUCUGUAGACACGAGUGUCCGCCAGCCUCCUGCUGGGCGUUUUAUAGCCAUUUCUCAUCAGCUACUCACUCAUCCUUUCACAGGGAGCUUCUUAGAACCCCUUUGAGAUAUAGCGUAAGCCAGACUCUGAUGCCAUAGCCCAGGAGCCUUUGCUGAUUUGGAGAGCCACGUGGAGCAUGGUGGCAGCCACAGCGUGGAUCUUGGCUUACUGUCCCCUCUCACGUACGGGCAGCUGACGUCUUCAUAGAUACCUGUUUUAUCUGUUAGGCAUUAGUCAUUCUAUUCACCCAGCUGCAAAGAACUUACCUUCAUAGUAUAUAUAUGACUCUUUUCUGACUUAUACAUCAAAGGCGGAUGGGGCUUCAAAAGGAAGACCAUGUUUUGGGUAUAUGCCUAUGUAUACCCCACCCCCAUACUAGGAUAUAUGUACCCCGGUCUGAUAGUUCACAAGUUAUAGACUUAUAAACAUACCCCACACACCCACCUCUGUUAUUUUUGACGAUGCUAGGUGCUGCUUCACAUGCCUCUGAGUUUCAGCUUUUCAUAUUUCAGGCUCAUAGCCUUCCCAUUAGAAUGAAACACAGUCUGGGCCUGCCCUGCUUCAAAGCCAAAAUCCCGAGGAUAGCCAGUCCAAGAGCUGUGUGUUUUGGCGUGGGAAGACCGGUUGCUUAAAGUCUGUACCUAUGAGAGCUCUCACGUUGACUCAAAUGAAUCCGGAGCCUUGUUCCCUGAAUUAUGUCAAGGUUAGCAGUCAAUGCUGCUUUAGAGGACUGAGUAAAUUGCUGAAUUCCUGUGAAUGUCAAACUCUAUUUCUCAGCAGAGUCGGCCACUGCCAAGUUUGUAAUGUACACACUGUGUUCUGUUCCCUGAACUCCAAGGAUGGGGUGGGGGUGGGGUGGGGGGGGGAUAGAGGGCUUGCAUAGGGCACAGGUGAAUUUUAUUUCUAGGGACUUACCAUGACAAUGUGACACUACUGGUAAAGUCUCUGAAGUACUGGGCACCAGGAAGACUUCUUGAAUACUUUGACUCUCACUUUUUUUUUCCUUCUUCAAUAGAAAAAAAAAUAUUAUGUAAAAAGUUUCCUGAGUUUAUAAAGCCCUAACCGGUGGCUCUGGCAUAGCUUGUUAAGAGUCUCCAAGAGGACCUCUCUUCCCACCACCGUCAUAAGAGGCAAGAACAAAAACGCAUUCUUGGUGAUUCCAGGAAUCAGAUCUAAUUGGAAAGCCUGCCUAUUGUGAACACAGUGGAUCCAGUUUUAAAUACACAACAGAGUGAGGUUUGACUUCUUCAAAGUAGUCAGGUAGCCCCACGACCCCCCUGUCUCUGUUUUGUCACUGGGGGUGUUUCUCCCCUCUUCUUUAUCUCUCCAACCCAUAUCUUUCUUCAGUGGGAGGUAAUACUUCAGAUAAUAAUUAAGUCAUGGGUGACUGCUCAAACCUGCAAUUCCAGCUCUCAGGAGACAAGGCUCAGGGAUUCCAAGUUCAAGGCCAGCCUAGGUUACCUGAUGAGAUCCUGCCCAAGAAGCGAAGAAGCAAACACAUAAAUACAUUCCCUAUAUUAAGCAGGGAGGGGUGGGGCAGUGGGGUCGAAGAAAAGUGCUAGAGGUUGCUCCGAAAGAUACUAGCUGAGUGAGGUUUCAUGCAUUCUGGGCUAUUGGUCAUUCAGGGCCUCAGACAGCCAAACUAACAUCAGGAAAGGAGUUUUUCCUUUCACAUUAGCACAACUACAUUGAAAGGAGAACCAGUUUGGGCAUUGCCUGGCAACUGUUGGUUUCAGUCUGUAUCUGACUUUAGACUUGAACCCAGGACCUAAGCUGGUGUGCAGGAUGGGCAAUCCGAAUGUCUGUGAGAGAUCUUACUCACUGAUAAACAGGAAAACCCUCCCAGGCAUACAGGAAACUGUUGUUUUGUACGUCCAAGGACUUGAAAGGCAAGAGAAGCUUCUUGAAGUGAGUGUUUCAAGCUUGCCUGCCCAGAGUGGACAGAAAGCAGCUGGGUGAUUCCGAGCUGAAGAGAUGAGGACGGGGUAAGAUGGACAGGGAGUUAUUAAAGAAACUAAAUGUGUACUAGACGUAGCCAGCAAAAAAAGGAGAAUGGUCAGUGUUAAAAAUAAGAUCUGUACUGAGCAGGAUACAAGAAGAAAGAGUUUGUCGAAUCCAGAGAAAAAGUCUGAAUGGAAAGGAGCCGGGGGAGAGUCAGAGACGUGGUGAAAACUUCAGGUGUCUGUGAACAGGGACUCAUUUCAAGUGACACUUGGUGACAUGGCUGAAGCAGCUUCAGAAAGAACUGUGUGUGUAGACCUGAACCCGCUCUCCGCCGUUCCCACGUGAUGUCACCGUAAAGCCACCUCUAGAUAUGUUUUAGGAAAAAAAA